ensembl:lncRNA
GGGCGGCCCUACAGGAAGGGGAUGGGAUGGGAUGGGGGGGGGGGAUGGAAGGGGGACCCCAUGGAGGGCAUUGUCGGCACACGGAGUGCAUCGCCGCCCCAUAGAACCUAUCAGCGCCCCAUAGAACCUAUUAGCACCCCAUAGAGCCCAUUGUUACCCCAUAGAGGCCAUUGUUAUCCCAUAGAACCCAUUGUUACUCCAUAGAGCCCAUUAUCACCUCAUAGAACCUAUUAUCACCCCAUAGAGCCCUUUAUCACCCCAAAGAACCUAUUGUUACCCCAUAGAGCCCAUCAUCACCCCAUAGAGCCCACUGUCACCCCAUAGAGCCCAUUGUUAACUCAUAGACCCCUCUGCCACCCCAUAGAGCCCAUUGUUACCCCAUAGAGCCCAUUGUUGCUCCAUAGAGCCCAUUAUUACCCAAUAGAACCUAUUAUCACCCCGUAGAACCCAUUGUUACCCCAUAGAGCCCAUCGUCACCCCAUAAAGCCCACUGUCACCCCAUAGAGCCCAUUAUUACCCCAUAGAGCCCAUUGUUACCCCAUAGAACUUAUUAUCACCGCAUAGAACCCAUUGUUACCCCAUAGAGCCCAUUGUCACCCCAUAGAGCCCAUUAUCACCCCAUAGAGCCCUUUAUCACCCCAUAGAACUUAUUAUCACCCCAUAGAACCCAUUGUUACCCCAUAGAACCCAUUGUUACCCCAUAGAACCCAUUGUUACCCCAUAGAGCCCAUUGUCGCCCCAUAGAGCCCAUUAUCACCCCAUAGAACCUAUGAUUGCCCCAUAGAGCCCAUUGUUACUCCGUAGAGCCCAUCGUCACCCCAUAGAGCCCAUCAUCACCCCAUAGACCCCUCUGCCACCCCAUAGAGCCCAUUGUUACCCCACAGAGCCCAUUAUCACCCCAUAGAACCUAUUGUUACCCCAUAGAGCCCAUUGUUGCCCUAUAGAACCUAUUGUUACCCCAUAGAGCCCAUUAUCACCCCAUAGAGCCCAUUAUCACCCCAUAGAACCUAUUAUCACCCCAUUGAACCCAUUGUCACCCCAUGGAGGCCAUUGUCGCCCCAUAGACCCCAUGGCCACCCCACAGACCCCACAGUCAUCCCCCCCCCCUGUCGUCCCCCCUUUUGUCCCCACCCCUUUGUCCCCACCCCCACCCCAUAAAGGCACCGCAGCCCGCAGUGCCACCACCGCUGCGGGACCGUGAGUCCUCCUGACCCCAUUCCUGACCCCAUUCCUGACCCCAUAUCUGUCCCCAACUUUGUCCCCAUCCCUGACCCCACAUUUGCCCCUUUGACCCCAAAUUUCUCCCUCUUUCCCCACCCCUCACCCCAAAUUUGCCCCUUUGGCCCCAAUUUUGCCCCUCCAUCCCCAUCUCUGACCCCAUAUUAUCCCCCCGUCCCCACUCCUGACCCCAAAUUUCCCCCUCUGCCCCCAUAUUAUCCCCCCAUCCCCACCUCUGACCCCAAAUUUGUCCCUCUGUCCCCAUUUUGUCCCCACCCUGACUCCAAAUUUGUCCCUUUGACCCCAUAUUUCCCCCUCUGACCCCAUAUUGUCCCUCCAUCCCCAUCCCUGACCCCAUAUUGUCCCUCAGUCUCUAUCCCUGACCCCAAAUUUGUCCCUUUGACCCCAAAUUUCCCUCUCUGCCCCCAUACUGUCCCUCCAUCACCACCCCUGACCCCAAAUUUGUCCCCAAAUUUGUCCCUUUGACCCCAAAUCUCCCCCUCUGCCCCCAUAUUAUCCCUCCAUCCCCACCCCUGACCCCAAAUCUCCCCCUCUGCCCCCAUAUUAUCCCUCCAUCCCCACCCCUGACCCCAAAUCUCCCCCUCUGCCCCCAUAUUAUCCCUCCAUCCCCAUCCCUGACCCCAAAUUUGUCCCUUUGACCGCAAAUCUCCCCCUCUGCCCCCAUAUUAUCCCUCCAUCCCCACCCCUGACCCCAAAUCUCCCCCUCUGCCCCCCAUAUUAUCCCUCCAUCCCCACCCCUGACCCCAAAUUUGUCCCUUUGACCCCAAAUCUGUCCCUCCAUCCCCAUCCCUGACCCCAUAUUGUCCCUCAGUCCCCAUCCCCUGACCCCAAAUUUGUCCCUUUGACCCCAAAUCUCCCCCUCUGCCCCCAUAUUAUCCCUCCAUCCCCACCCCUGACCCCAAAUCUCCCCCUCUGCCCCCAUAUUAUCCCUCCAUCCCCACCUCUGACCCCAAAUUUGUCCCUUUGACCCCAAAUUUCCCCCUCUGACUCCAUUUUGCCCCUCCAUCCCCAUCCCUGACCCCAAAUCUCCCCCUCUGCCCCCAUAUUAUCCCUCCAUCCCCACCCCUGACCCCAAAUUUGUCCCCAAAUUUGUCCCUUUGACCGCAAAUCUCCCCCUCUGCCCCCAUAUUAUCCCUCCAUCCCCACCCCUGACCCCAAAUCUCCCCCUCUGCCCCCAUACCGCCCCUCCGUCCCCACCGUUGUCCCCAUGUCCCCCCCCGUCACCUGGGGGGUGGCCCUGGGGGUGGCCCUGGGCGCUGUGGGGUGGGCGCUGUUGGUUUCCUCUCUGCCCCACAGUGCCUGGGGGGUGGGGGGGGGGCAGGUGACGGUGGUGGCGUCUGUCACCAACACCCGCGGGCUGUGGAGCGAUUGUGUCACCGACGCCAGCGGGGGUGACAUCGUGUGUCCCACUGCAGUCACUGCUCACACUGCCCGGUAUGAGCCCGGCCCGGGGUUGUUCCUGGCCGGGGGGGGGGCGAUGCUUUUGGGGCUGGGGGGGGCAGCGCUCCUCCUUGCCGCGCGGAGGACCCCCCCCAGAACACAACGACCCCCAGGUGAGAAACUCCCCCCCCCCCCCAAAAUAAUGGGAACCCCAAAACCGUGGCGUCCAACCCCAAU